UCAGAGCAGGUCAGACGAUCUUCUUCGUGCU
rnacentral:piRNA from 1 species